GAAAGCAAGAAAGGGCGCACGGGGGAUGCCUGUGGCUCUCGGAGGCGACGAAGGACGUGAUAAGCUGCGAAAAGCCGCGGGGAGAGGCAAAUGCUCCGUGAUCCGCGGAUGUCCGAAUGGGGGAACCCGGCGGUAGCGAUACCGUCACUGCUCCUUGGUGGAGUAGAGCGAACGCGGGGAACUGAAACAUCUCAGUACCCGCAGGAAGAGAAAAUAACAAUGAUUGCGCCAGUAGUGGCGAGCGAACGCGCAAGAGCCCAAACCGCGGGUGUCAAGGCACCGCGCGGGGUUGUAGGACCGUCGACAGUGUGGACUCAGGACGAUAGCGGAACGCGCUGGAAAGCGCGGCCAGAGCGGGUGACAGCCCCUUACGCGAAAUCGUCCGGACGACAUCAGACGGCACCUGAGUACCGCGGAGCACGAGGAAUUCUGCGGGAAUCUGCGGGGACCAUCCCGUAAGGCUAAAUACUACCGAGAGACCGAUAGCGCACAAGUACCGUGAGGGAAAGGUGAAAAGAACCUCGUGCAGAGGAGUGAAACAGACCCUGAAACCGUGCGCCUACAAGCGGUGGGAGCCACUCAGUGUGGUGACCGCGUGCCUUUUGCAUAAUGAACCUACGAGUCACCGUCGCCGGCGAGGUUAAGGGCGAGUACGCCCGCAGCCGAAGCGAAAGCGAGUCCGAAGAGGGCGCCGUCAGUCGGCGGAGGUGGACGCGAAACCAAGUGAUCUACCCAUGGGCAGGAUGAAGGACGGGUGACUCCGUCUGGAGGUCCGAACCGGUAAGCGUUGAAAAGCUUUCGGAUGACCUGUGGGUAGGAGUGAAAGGCCAAUCAAACUUGGAGAUAGCUCGUACUCCCCGAAAUGUAUUUAGGUGCAGCCUCGGGCGAGAGUGGCGGAGGUAGAGCGACCGAUAGGAUGCGAGGGCUUCACCGCCUAUCAAGUCCUGCCGAACUCCGAAUGCCGCCCACUCGAUGUCCGGGAGUAAGGGCGCGGGUGCUAAGGUCCGCGUCCGAGAGAGGAACAACUCAGACCACCGUCUAAGGCCCCCAAAUCCGGGCCAAGUUGAAGACAAUAACGAAGUGCGGCCGCAGAGACAGCCAGGAUGUUGGCUUGGAAGCAGCCAUUCAUUUAAAGAGUGCGUAACAGCUCACCGGUCGAGCGGCCGCGCAUGGAUAAUAAUCGGGCAUAAGUCCGGUGCCGAAGACGUGGAAUCACACCUUGCGUGUGGUUGGUAGGGGAGCAUUCCAUAGUGCGUUGAAUGCCAGCCUUGAGGCUGACUGGAGCGUAUGGAAAAGCAAAUGUAGGUAUAAGUAACGAUAAAGGGGGCGGAAAACCCCCUCGCCGUAAGACCAAGGUUUCCUGAUCAACGCUAAUCGGAUCAGGGUCAGUCGGGACCUAAGCCGCACCCGCGAGGGGCAGGCGAUGGAAGAAGCGGUCAAUAUUCCGCUACCGGCACUGGCUGCGACGGAGAGACGGAGAAGUGACACGCCCGCGCGCUGACGGAAUAGCGCGUUGAAGGGUGUAGGCGCGGAGGGGCGCAGGCAAAUCCACGCCCCGAGCCGAGACCCGACAGUACAGCGAGCCCCCGGGCGAGCUGACAGCGGCGGUAAGCAUGCUCCCUAGAAAAUCUUCUAAGCCCCAGGCCAGAGCCGCCCGUACCGUAAACCGACACAGGUGGUCGGGUAGAAUAUACCAAGGCGCUCGAGUGAUUCACGGUUAAGGAACUAGGCAAACUGACCCCGUAACUUCGGGAUAAGGGGUCCCGUCCUCCGGGACGGGCGCAGAGAAUAGGUCCAGGCAACUGUUUAACAAAAACACAGGGCUGUGCGAAAUUGAAAGAUGAUGUAUACAGCCUGACACCUGCCCGGUGCCGGAAGGUUAAGAGGAGAGGUCAUCGCGAGAGAAGCCUUGAAUUGAAGCCCCGGUAAACGGCGGCCGUAACUAUAACGGUCCUAAGGUAGCGAAAUUCCUUGUCGGGUAAGUUCCGACCUGCACGAAUGGUGUAAUGAUCCGGACACUGUCUCAACCGUGAGCUCGGUGAAAUUGUAGUAUCGGUGAAGAUGCCGAUUACCCGCAACGGGACGAAAAGACCCCGUGAACCUUUACUACAGCUUAGCAUUGCGACCGGGUGCGCGAUGUGUAGGAUAGCCAGGAGGCUUUGAAGUGGGGGCGCCAGUCCCCGUGGAGCCGCUGUUGAAAUACUGGCCUUCUCGCAUCUGGUUCCUAACGCGCUAAUGCGCGGACACUGCUUGGCGGGUAGUUUGACUGGGGUGGUCGCCUCCAAAAGAGUAACGGAGGCUUCUAAAGGUGCGCUCAGGCCGAUUGGUAACCGGCCGCGGAGUGUAAUGGCACAAGCGCGCUUGACUGGGAGACACACAGGUCGUCCAGGUAGGAAACUAGAGCAUAGUGAUCCGGUGGUUCCGCAUGGAAGGGCCAUCGCUCAAAGGAUAAAAGGUACUCCGGGGAUAACAGGCUGAUCCCUCCCAAGAGCUCAAAUCGACGGAGUGGUUUGGCACCUCGAUGUCGGCUCGUCACAUCCUGGGGCUGGAGAAGGUCCCAAGGGUUGGGCUGUUCGCCCAUUAAAGUGGCACGCGAGCUGGGUUCAGAACGUCGUGAGACAGUUCGGUCUCUAUCUGUUGUGGGCGUUGAGAUUUGCGUGGCCCCGACACUAGUACGAGAGGACCGUGUUGGACAGACCUCCGGUCUACCGGUUGUGCCGCCAGGCGCACCGCCGGGUAGCCGCGUCUGGUACGGAUAAGUGCUGAAAGCAUCUAAGCACGAAGCCAGCCACAAGAUAAGAUCUCGCUGAGGGUCGUUGGAGACUACGACGUUGAUAGGCUGCAGGUGCAAGGUCGGUGACGGCCUCAGCCGAGCAGUACUAAUCACCCGAAAGCUUUCCGGU
rnacentral:rRNA from 1 species